CAGGGGGCGCAUCAAGUCUGCUGUUAAAGACCGGAGCUAAACUCCGGUAGAGCAGUGGAAACUGGUGCGCUAGAGGGGCGACAGGGGUAGAGGGAAUUCCCAGUGUAGCGGUGAAAUGCGUAGAGAUUGGGAAGAACACCGGUGGCGAAAGCGCUCUACUGGGUCGCACCUGACCCUCAGGGACGAAAGCUAAGGGAGCGAAAGGGAUUAGAUACCCCUGUAGUCUUAGCCGUAAACGAUGGAUACUAGGCGUGGUUUGUAUCGACCCAAGCCGUGCCGAAGCUAACGCGUUAAGUAUCCCGCCUGGGGAGUACGCACGCAAGUGUGAAACUCAAAGGAAUUGACGGGGGCCCGCACAAGCGGUGGAGGAUGUGGUUUAAUUCGAUGCAACGCGAAGAACCUUACCAGGGCUUGACAUCCCGCGAAUCUCGCUGAAAGGUGAGAGUGCCUACGGGAACGCGGAGACAGGUGGUGCAUGGCUGUCGUCAGCUCGUGUCGUGAGAUGUUGGGUUAAGUCCCGCAACGAGCGCAACCCUCGUCCUUAGUUGCCAGCCUUAAGUGGGGCACUCUAGGGAGACUGCCGGUGACAAACCGGAGGAAGGUGAGGAUGACGUCAAGUCAGCAUGCCCCUUAUGCUCUGGGCGACACACGUCCUACAAUGGUCGGGACAAAGGGGAGCGAGCUCGCGAGAGUCAGCGAAUCCCAGCAAACUCGGCCUCAGUUCAGAUAGCAGGCUGCAACUCGCCUGCUUGAAGGAGGAAUCGCUAGUAAUCGCAGGUCAGCAUACUGCGGUGAAUUCGUUCCCGGGCCUUGUACACACCGCCCGUCACACCAUGGAAGCUGGCCAAGCCCGAAGUCGUUACCCUAACCUUACGA
rnacentral:rRNA from 1 species